CAGACAUGAGCUACAGUUCAGACAACAAUACAUGAGCUACAAUUCAGACAACAAAACAUGAGCUACAGUUCAGACAACAAAACAUGAACUACACUUCAGACAACAAAACAUGAGCUACAGUUCAGAUAACAAAACAUGAGCUACAGUUCAGACAACAAAACAUGAGCUACACUUCAGACAACAAUACAUGAGCUACAGUUCAGACAACAAUACAUGAGCUACAGUUCAGACAACAAAA
rnacentral:sRNA from 1 species